CAUGAGUCUACAUUUCCAUCUACUGUGCAAGAGAGUGAUUAUAGACAUUCUGUCCAUUACUGUGUAUUACUGAACUAUUUAAUCUCUUUCAAUCUAGCAAAUUAUAUAUUUGCUAGAUUAAAAGAGACAUUUCCUAUGCAGUAUAUAUAUAAGAAAAUGGUCUUAUAUAUUUUAUAUAUCAGCAAUAAUAGUAACCCUCAUAUAGCACUUACUAUGUACUAGCUGUUGUUCCAAGAGCUUUACAUAUAUGAACUAAUUUAAUAUAUAAUAGUUUCAUAUACUAAAACAUAAUUCAUACAUUCAAUUCAUCCAUUUAAAUUAUACAAUCAAGUGGUUUUUGUUAUAUUCUCGGGAUGUGCAGCCAUCAGUAAUUUGGAACACUUUAGUCACCCCCAGAGAAGCUCUAUAGCAUAGCUGUCACUCCAAACCACCCAUGCACUUCAACCCUGCAGCCAUAAUCUGCUUUCUGUCUCUGCAGAUUUGCCUAUUCUAGACAUUUUCUAUGCAAGAAUCAUAUAACGUGUGGUUUUGAAAUAGACUUAUUUCACUUAGCACAUUAUUUUUGAGUUUACCCAUGUUGAAACAUGUAUCAGUACUUCAUUCCUUUUUGUUACCAAGUAAUAUUGUAUUAUUGAAUCCAUCUACUACGUUUUAUUUAUUCAUUUAUCACCUGAUGGACAUUUGGGUUGGUUCCAAUUGGGGCUAUUUGAAUAAUGCUGUACAAGCUCUUGUACAAACAAUGUAUUUGCAAUUCUCUUUGAGUAUAUAUAUAUAUGGAGUGAGAUUGCUUGGUAAUAUGGUAACUAAGUUUUUGAGGAACUGCCAAACUUUGGGUAUCUUUCUCCCAUUGAAUUUUCUAGAUUUUCCCUCUAAUAAUUUGUUAGUGGUAAAACAAAUUUUGUUGAAAAGUAGUGUUGAUGUCUUGAUUAUUGUAUUUAAAGCAUAAUGUUAUUUUAUAUCUGUCUAUUGCAUGAAAUCAUAGUCUCUCAAAAAUUGAGAAUGAAAUUUCAUUCAGUCUUCACAUCUUUAUCGCCAAACAGAGGUAGAUACCAGAGUAAGGGACUCAAACACUGAUGUCAACAAAGCUUAAAUAGAGGAAAGACGUAAAGGUUUGAAAGGUGAAAACAGAUAUAUAUUUAAUUUAUCUUCCAGAUCAUUGUCUAGUUUCCUUGGCAAGAUGGUUAAAUAAAAGCUAGGAUUGGAAGGAUAAACAGAACUCUUUGUCGCCUUAAAGAAGUUGAUAUGUGAACAAACACACAGCAUGGUCCUAUUCAUAAAUGAAGUCAACGGAAG
rnacentral:lncRNA from 1 species